AGAGUUUGAUCCUGGCUCAGGAUGAACGCUGGCGGCGUGCCUAACACAUGCAAGUUGAGCGAUUUACUUCGGUAAAGAGCGGCGGACGGGUGAGUAACGCGUGGGUAACCUACCCUGUACACACGGAUAACAUACCGAAAGGUAUGCUAAUACGGGAUAAUAUAUUUGAGAGGCAUCUCUUGAAUAUCAAAGGUGAGCCAGUACAGGAUGGACCCGCGUCUGAUUAGCUAGUUGGUAAGGUAACGGCUUACCAAGGCGACGAUCAGUAGCCGACCUGAGAGGGUGAUCGGCCACAUUGGAACUGAGACACGGUCCAAACUCCUACGGGAGGCAGCAGUGGGGAAUAUUGCACAAUGGGCGAAAGCCUGAUGCAGCAACGCCGCGUGAGUGAUGAAGGCCUUCGGGUCGUAAAACUCUGUCCUCAAGGAAGAUAAUGACGGUACUUGAGGAGGAAGCCCCGGCUAACUACGUGCCAGCAGCCGCGGUAAUACGUAGGGGGCUAGCGUUAUCCGGAUUUACUGGGCGUAAAGGGUGCGUAGGCGGUCUUUCAAGUCAGGAGUGAAAGGCUACGGCUCAACCGUAGUAAGCUCUUGAAACUGGGAGACUUGAGUGCAGGAGAGGAGAGUGGAAUUCCUAGUGUAGCGGUGAAAUGCGUAGAUAUUAGGAGGAACACCAGUUGCGAAGGCGGCUCUCUGGACUGUAACUGACGCUGAGGCACGAAAGCGUGGGGAGCAAACAGGAUUAGAUACCCUGGUAGUCCACGCUGUAAACGAUGAGUACUAGGUGUCGGGGGUNNNNNNNNGGGUUCGAAUCCCUGUGCGCUCACCACAUAUAUAUUGGGGAUUAGCCAAGUCGGUAAGGCACAUGACUUUGACUCAUGUAUGCGUAGGUUCGAGUCCUGCAUCCCCAGCCAAAUGAUGUAUUACUAAGCUAUAUUUGAAUUAUUUUUAUUUUAAAUAUAGUUAGGUUCAAUUUUAGAAUAAGUUUAAGUAUCCGAAUGUGGAGAGGUGUCCGAGUGGUUUAAGGAGCUGGUCUUGAAAACCAGUGACUUCGAAAGGGGCCGUGGGUUCGAAUCCCACCCUCUCCGCCAAAUGCCCAGAUAGCUCAGUCGGUAGAGCAGGGGACUGAAAAUCCCCGUGUCGGUGGUUCGAUUCCGCCUCUGGGCACCAAAAUGUGGCGGUAUAGCUUAGUUGGCUAGAGCGUUCGGUUCAUACCCGAAAGGUCAUAGGUUCGACUCCUAUUACCGCUACUAAAAUUUAAUGUGGGCCAUUAGCUCAGUUGGUUAGAGCGCCCGGCUCAUAACCGGUAGGUCUGGGGUUCGAGUCCCUGAUGGCCCACCACAUUAAAUUAAUUAAUAUAAAUUCGAGGUGUAGCGCAGUUUGGUAGCGCACAUGGUUUGGGACCAUGGGGCCGGGGGUUCGAGUCCCUUCACCUCGACCAAUAUAAGGUGGGUAUAGCUCAGUUGGUUAGAGCGCCAGAUUGUGGCUCUGGAGGUCGUGAGUUCGACUCUCAUUAUCCACCCCAAUUCAUAUGGUCUAUUAGCUCAGUCGGUAGAGCACCUGACUUUUAAUCAGGGUGUCCCGCGUUCGAGUCGCGGAUAGAUCACCAAAAAGGCGGCGACAUAGCCAAGUGGUAAGGCAGUGGACUGCAACUCCUUGAUCCCCAGUUCGAAUCUGGGUGUCGCCUCCAAUAAAAUGCGCUCAUAGCUCAACUGGAUAGAGUGUCUGACUACGAAUCAGAAGGUUAGGGGUUCGAGUCCCUUUGGGCGCACCAUAUGAAUAGCGAGGGAUUAUAGCUCAGCUGGGAGAGCACCUGCCUUACAAGCAGGGGGUCACAGGUUCGAGCCCUGUUAAUCCCACCAGUGCAAACCUCUAGUAAAACUACUAGAGGUUUUAUUUUUGAUUGAAAAAGUUUUUAUAUUUAGGAGGUAAAAAAUUUGUAUAUAGUAAUAGGAAAUGAAAUAGUUGAUAGUGAAGAACUUAAAAUAAUUAUAGAUAAAAAUAGUGAAUUUAAAGUUGAAAAAGAUUUAAGUAAAAGCACAAAAAGAGAAGAUGUAAUAGCAUAUCAGUUAAGUAUAGAUUUAAAUUACCUAGAUUCUCUUAUAAAUGAGCAAUGUAAUUUAGCCAGUCUAUCUGAUGAAGAGAAAUUUGAUGAAUAUAUGACUUUGUCUGAUGAACUUGCACUGGAUUUAGAAGAGUUAAUGCCAAAAUAUACAAUAAUAAAUGCUAGAGCAUAUAAAUUAGACGAGGUAGAUGGAAUUGUAAAAAUAAUACUAGCUGUAGCGUAUGCAGAUUUAGGGCACUUAAAACUUUCUGAUGUAGUAAAGAGGCUAUCUAGACAAGUAGAUUAGGAUAUGAAUAUGAACUAUAUUAAAAAAAUGUAUAAAAUCUUACGUAAAGAUGAAAAUAAUUAUGUAAACAUAGAAAAAAACAGUAUAAAAUCAAGUCAAUUGUAGAAAUUUUCACAUAAAUUCAUCUGAAAUUCUGUAAAAAAUGCCUUAAUUUUAAUGAGGUAAAUCGAGUUUACACAGUCUAAAAAUUACUUAUAUUUAUAAAUUUAUCUUAUUAAUUAAGGAACUUUCUUAAACAUCUUCAAAAAUAAAGUAUUUUAGUCUAUAAUCUUUAAUAUUACACAAACAAUAAAGGAGAAGAAUAGAGUAUGCUUAAAAAGUUUAAUAAAAUACUAGUGGCUAAUAGAGGCGAAAUAGCUAUAAGAAUAUUUAGAGCCUGUUCAGAAUUGGGGAUAAAAAGUGUUGGUAUAUACAGUAAGGAAGAUAAGUAUGGAUUGUUUAGAACAAAAGCGGAUGAAUCAUAUUUGAUAGGAGAAGGUAAAGGGCCAAUAGAUGCAUAUUUAGAUAUGGAUGGAAUAAUAGACCUAGCAAAGAGAAAAAAAGUUGAUGCUAUACAUCCAGGAUAUGGUUUUCUAGCGGAGAAUGCAGAAUUUGCUCGUAAAUGUGAAGAGAAUGGAAUUACUUUUAUAGGACCAUCAUCUAAGGUAAUGAAUAUGAUGGGGGAUAAGAUUAACUCUAAAAAAAUCGCAAAAGAAGUUAAUGUUCAAACU
rnacentral:rRNA from 1 species